UCUCUUUGCCCCUAACUUGAGGCCACACCUCCUAGGACAGUAACCGCAGUUCUCCCCUAUCGUCCUUCCCCUCUCUCUCUCUUCUCAUCUUCCCCAUUCCAGCAAAGCCAGCUGAAGCAGCAGCUGCGUCCAGCCCAUCUGGCAUCAGAAGCGAGCUCCGGUGGAGUUUUUAAAAGUUUCAAGCUGGUCAAAAAGACGGAUCUUUAAUAGAUCCAUCAAGGAGCAACCUGCUGGCAAAAGAGUAACCCACUUCUAGAUCGAGAACUUUAACCCUUUUAGGCAAUAAACCAAGGGAAUAAAGGGAGAAUCCAUUCACACAAUGGUUAGAGAUAAGAAUUUAGGAUCUGAUUGAAAAUCCACAUGCACAAUUUUAUAAAAGUAGCUUGAAUGUUUAUGCAAUGAAAUACUUUGCUGGUAUGCUAUUUACGGACUAACUAUAAAAUGAUUACAUUCAUUGGACACUACCCGAAACUUCAUCAAUCCUUUACCAGGAAGGAAAGGCAAUUCAUGUUUCAUUGCCACAUCUUUGAUCUCCAUUUCUUCUCUCCUAGUGUAUUCUGCAGGAAAUUUAGAUUCCUCAUUCCAUUCCUGCAUAUAAGCAACGCCGUUAAAGUCAUCCUCUGGAACCUCCAAUCCAAUUCAAAAGAGGUAUUGUAAUAAGAUGAAAGAGAUAUAUACCUAUCAUUUAGAUAAUUAAAAGUCAGAGUCAUACUAGUUGGUAUCAGUCCCAUGAAACAUUUAUUUCUACUCCUCUCUAUUUAGGUUGGGCCCUUUCAACAUGUUCAUCUACAAAGAGUCAUUUAAAUAGUGUUUUCCUUAUUUUUUUUGCGAGAUGUUGAUGACAAAACUAUUUCAAUGAGCCUUUAUGAGUGAACAUGUUGAAAGUGCUCGCCAUGAAUAAAGAGGAGUAGAAAUAAUUUUUUCAUGAGAAUGACACCAACUAGUAUGAGUUUGACCUGAUACAGACUACUUAAUAUAUAUAUACAUAUAUAUGUAUACAUACAAUACCUCUUUUAUCUUGGAUUGCAUGUUCUUGAGGACAAAUUUAAGGGUGUUGCUUAUAAGACAACGAGAAUGGAAUGAGGAAUAGAAAUAACCUACAGACUACAUUUGGAGAUAAGACAUGAAGAUCAAAGAUGUGGUUAUGAAAAAUGUAUAUUACCUUUCUUUCUUCGUAAAUCGUCAAUGAAAUUUCUGGCAGUCUCCAAUGAAUGGAAUCAUUGGAUAGUUACUUCAAUUAGUAGCAUACCAUCAAAGUAUUUCAUUCCAGAAACUUUCAGACUACUUUUCUCAUAUAGUUGAUGUUGAUUUCCAUUCAGAUUUUAAUUUCUUCUCUCUGGACUAUUAUGCGAAUGGAAUUCCCCAUGCUUCCAUUGGUUUCUUGCCUGAAAGGAGUAAGAGAAAACCAUGAUUAUUUGUUUUGAACAUAUUCUUGAAAAGAAGAGGAUCAUAAAAAGGACAAGUUAGAAAGGAAGAAAUUCAUGAAUCAAUGAAGCAAAUAAAGAUGAGACUACUUUUUAAGUGAGAAAGAUAUCUUUAUUUUAUAAAAUAAAGAUAAAGAUUAUUCGUUGUGUACUUAUCAAGGUAAAAAAAACUUAUCCUAACAAUUUAGUUAUUUCAAAUAACUUUCCAUAGACUUGAUUAUGAAAUUUAAACAAUCUCUUAGUGAGGUUGCCUUGUAUUAAUAUGCAAAUAGAGUGUAACCAUGCACUUGUUGCUUAUGGUCGUGGAGCUAAAAUUGUUAUUUAUUGUCAUCUUAAUUUUUUUGAA